UACGUAGGGUGCGAGCGUUAAUCGGAAUUACUGGGCGUAAAGCGUGCGCAGGCGGUGAUGUAAGACCGAUGUGAAAUCCCCGGGCUUAACCUGGGAACUGCGUUUGAAACUACAAGGCUAGAGUGUGGCAGAGGGGGGUGGAAUUCCACGUGUAGCAGUGAAAUGCGUAGAGAUGUGGAGGAACACCGAUGGCGAAGGCAGCCCCCUGGGUUAACACUGACGCUCAGGCACGAAAGCGUGGGGAGCAAACAGG
rnacentral:rRNA from 1 species